rnacentral:rRNA from 1 species
GGUUAAGCGACUAAGCGUACACGGUGGAUGCCCUGGCAGUCAGAGGCGAUGAAGGACGUGCUAAUCUGCGAAAAGCGUCGGUAAGGUGAUAUGAACCGUUAUAACCGGCGAUGUCCGAAUGGGGAAACCCAGUGUGAUUCGUCACACUAUCGUUAACUGAAUACAUAGGUUAACGAGGCGAACCGGGGGAACUGAAACAUCUAAGUACCCCGAGGAAAAGAAAUCAACCGAGAUUCCCCCAGUAGCGGCGAGCGAACGGGGAGCAGCCCAGAGUCUGAAUCAGCUUGUGUGUUAGUGGAACGGUCUGGAAAGUCCGACGGUACAGGGUGAUAGUCCCGUACACCAAAAUGCACAGGUUGUGAACUCGAAGAGUAGGGCGGGACACGUGGUAUCCUGUCUGAAUAUGGGGGGACCAUCCUCCAAGGCUAAAUACUCCUGACUGACCGAUAGUGAACCAGUACCGUGAGGGAAAGGCGAAAAGAACCCCGGCGAGGGGAGUGAAAAAGAACCUGAAACCGUGUACGUACAAGCAGUGGGAGCACCUUCGGGUGUGACUGCGUACCUUUUGUAUAAUGGGUCAGCGACUUAUAUUCUGUAGCAAGGUUAACCGUAUAGGGGAGCCGCAGGGAAACCGAGUCUUAACUGGGCGUUAAGUUGCAGGGUAUAGACCCGAAACCCGGUGAUCUAGCCAUGGGCAGGUUGAAGGUUGGGUAACACUAACUGGAGGACCGAACCGACUAAUGUUGAAAAAUUAGCGGAUGACUUGUGGCUGGGGGUGAAAGGCCAAUCAAACCGGGAGAUAGCUGGUUCUCCCCGAAAGCUAUUUAGGUAGCGCCUCGUGAACUCAUCUUCGGGGGUAGAGCACUGUUUCGGCUAGGGGGUCAUCCCGACUUACCAACCCGAUGCAAACUACGAAUACCGAAGAAUGUUAUCACGGGAGACACACGGCGGGUGCUAACGUCCGUCGUGAAGAGGGAAACAACCCAGACCGCCAGCUAAGGUCCCAAAGUCAUGGUUAAGUGGGAAACGAUGUGGGAAGGCACAGACAGCCAGGAUGUUGGCUUAGAAGCAGCCAUCAUUUAAAGAAAGCGUAAUAGCUCACUGGUCGAGUCGGCCUGCGCGGAAGAUGUAACGGGGCUAAACCAUGCACCGAAGCUGCGGCAGCGACACUAUGUGUUGUUGGGUAGGGGAGCGUUCUGUAAGCCUGCGAAGGUGUGCUGUGAGGCAUGCUGGAGGUAUCAGAAGUGCGAAUGCUGACAUAAGUAACGAUAAAGCGGGUGAAAAGCCCGCUCGCCGGAAGACCAAGGGUUCCUGUCCAACGUUAAUCGGGGCAGGGUGAGUCGACCCCUAAGGCGAGGCCGAAAGGCGUAGUCGAUGGGAAACAGGUUAAUAUUCCUGUACUUGGUGUUACUGCGAAGGGGGGACGGAGAAGGCUAUGUUAGCCGGGCGACGGUUGUCCCGGUUUAAGCAUGUAGGCUGGUUGUCCAGGCAAAUCCGGAUAAUCAAGGCUGAGGUGUGAUGACGAGGCACUACGGUGCUGAAGUAACAAAUGCCCUGCUUCCAGGAAAAGCCUCUAAGCAUCAGGUAACAUCAAAUCGUACCCCAAACCGACACAGGUGGUCAGGUAGAGAAUACCAAGGCGCUUGAGAGAACUCGGGUGAAGGAACUAGGCAAAAUGGUGCCGUAACUUCGGGAGAAGGCACGCUGGUGUGUAGGUGAAGUCCCUGCGGAUGGAGCUGAGACCAGUCGAAGAUACCAGCUGGCUGCAACUGUUUAUUAAAAACACAGCACUGUGCAAACACGAAAGUGGACGUAUACGGUGUGACGCCUGCCCGGUGCCGGAAGGUUAAUUGAUGGGGUUAUCCGUAAGGAGAAGCUCUUGAUCGAAGCCCCGGUAAACGGCGGCCGUAACUAUAACGGUCCUAAGGUAGCGAAAUUCCUUGUCGGGUAAGUUCCGACCUGCACGAAUGGCGUAAUGAUGGCCAGGCUGUCUCCACCCGAGACUCAGUGAAAUUGAACUCGCUGUGAAGAUGCAGUGUACCCGCGGCAAGACGGAAAGACCCCGUGAACCUUUACUAUAGCUUGACACUGAACAUUGAGCCUUGAUGUGUAGGAUAGGUGGGAGGCUUUGAAGCGUGGACGCCAGUCUGCGUGGAGCCAACCUUGAAAUACCACCCUUUAAUGUUUGAUGUUCUAACGUUGGCCCCUGACCGGGGUUGCGGACAGUGUCUGGUGGGUAGUUUGACUGGGGCGGUCUCCUCCCAAAGCGUAACGGAGGAGCACGAAGGUUAGCUAAUCCUGGUCGGACAUCAGGAGGUUAGUGCAAUGGCAUAAGCUAGCUUGACUGCGAGCGUGACGGCGCGAGCAGGUGCGAAAGCAGGUCAUAGUGAUCCGGUGGUUCUGAAUGGAAGGGCCAUCGCUCAACGGAUAAAAGGUACUCCGGGGAUAACAGGCUGAUACCGCCCAAGAGUUCAUAUCGACGGCGGUGUUUGGCACCUCGAUGUCGGCUCAUCACAUCCUGGGGCUGAAGUAGGUCCCAAGGGUAUGGCUGUUCGCCAUUUAAAGUGGUACGCGAGCUGGGUUUAGAACGUCGUGAGACAGUUCGGUCCCUAUCUGCCGUGGGCGCUGGAGAAUUGAGGGGGGCUGCUCCUAGUACGAGAGGACCGGAGUGGACGCAUCACUGGUGUUCGGGUUGUCAUGCCAAUGGCACUGCCCGGUAGCUAAAUGCGGAAGAGAUAAGUGCUGAAAGCAUCUAAGCACGAAACUUGCCCCGAGAUGAGUUCUCCCUGAGACUUUAAGUCUCCUGAAGGAACGUU